UACGUAGGCAGCGAGCGUUGUUCGGAGUUACUGGGCGUAAAGGGUGUGUAGGCGGUUGUUUAAGUUUGGUGUGAAAUCUCCCGGCUCAACUGGGAGCGGUCGUGCGAUACUGCUCAGCUCGAGGUCGGUAGGGGGAAGUGGAAUUCCGGGUGUAGUGGUGGAAUGCGUAGAUAUCCGGAGGAACACCAGUGGCGAAGGCGGCUUCCUGGACCGAUCCUGACACUCAUGAGCGAAAGCGUGGGGAGCGAUCCGG
rnacentral:rRNA from 1 species